CUGGUUGAUCCUGCCGGACCUGACUGCUAUCGGAUUGAUACUAAGCCAUGCGAGUUGAGAGGGGUAAGCCCUCGGCAUAUUGCUCAGUAACACGCGGAUAACCUGCCCUUGGGUCCGGGAUAACCCCGGGAAACUGGGACUAAUACCGGAUAGAUCAAGGAUACUGGAAUGUUCUCUGGUCCAAAACUCCGGUGCCCAAGGAUGGGUCUGCGGCCUAUCAGGUAGUAGUGGGUGUAACGUACCUACUAGCCUACGACGGGUAAGGGUUGUGAGAGCAAGAGCCCUGAGAUGGAUUCUGAGACAUGAAUCCAGGCCCUACGGGGUGCAGCAGGCGCGAAAACUUUACACUGCGGGAAACCGCGAUAAGGGGACCCCGAGUGCCAGUACCUAGUGCUGGCUGUCCCGCUGUCCAAACAACAGUGGUUAGCAAGGGCCGGGCAAGACCGGUGCCAGCCGCCGCGGUAACACCGGCGGCCCGAGUGGUAGCCGUUAUUAUUGGGUUUAAAGGGUCCGUAGCCGGCUUAUUAAGUCUCUUGGGAAAUCUGGCGGCUUAAUCGUCAGGCGUCCAAGAGAUACUGAUAGGCUUGGGACCGGGAGAGGUGGGAGGUACUCCAGGGGUAGGGGUGAAAUCUCGUAAUCCUUGGGGGACCACCGAUGGCGAAGGCAUCCCACCAGAACGGGUCCGACGGUGAGGGACGAAAGCUGGGGGCACGAACCGGAUUAGAUACCCGGGUAGUCCCAGCUGUAAACGAUGCUCGCUAGGUGUCAGGUGCGGUGCGACCGCAUCUGGUGCCGUAGUGAAAACUUGAAGCGAGUCACCUGGGAAGUACGGUCGCAAGGCUGAAACUUAAAGGAAUUGGCGGGGGAGCACUACAACGGGUGGAGCCUGCGGUUCAAUUGGAUUCAACGCCGGG
rnacentral:rRNA from 1 species